CCUCGUGUGUUCCCCGGCGCCGCCGCUCGGGGCCGCCUUCGCCUGGGGAGUUGCGUGGAGAAGCGGUGCCCUUGCAGGCGGCUCCUGCUCCUUUAGUGACACCAAGGAAGCCACCGCGGCCGGGAAGGGGCAGUCGACAGCAAUAUGCAUCCAAGGGAUUGGCCAUGCCCCCAUUCAACGAUAUGAGCGGGUACCUUCUCAUUGCGGACCAUAAAGAGUGUUUCUUGAUCUGCUGCAGUAUAGAUGCAAGAAGAGAAUUUUCUUACUGCUUAAAAAAACUGGAAGUCUUCAUACUAUGCACUGACUUGAGCAGAAUUUUGUGAUGCAGCAGUAAAGGCUAAGCAGAAACAUUCCAGCUUUCAAUCCAGUCUCAGGGCAAGAUGACAAAUUAACAUUUGGCAAGCUUGUCUGAAUGUCUCCCAAGCAUGUAUUUGGUCCAGUAAGAAGAUACCACCCACAAAAAUCCCUGCCUCCAACAUUUCCUGGACCAUCAUGGCUGCAGCAGUCCAACGUUAUAACAUCAAUGCUGUUGUUUAAGAUACAUGUUUACAAUCUCUUUUUAACUAGUACUGCUUUACAUAUUCGAUACCUGACCUUUACUGCUUGGUGUGUGACAAGUCACCUAACUCAUGGCAUUGAGUUUGUGUGAACGAUGCAGUUAUAAAUCUUGUAGGAACAGUAUCCAAAGAAACCAUUAAUAUGUUGAAUCUCUCAUGGAGUAAAGGUAGAACAGAAUAUAUGGGGAAAGAGGCAGGAGCAAAAUGAUUUCUGAUCAGAUUUUUUACCAACAACAACAAAAAAAAGAAAUGUACAUAGACAAUUAUAAUUCUGUUUGUAUUUCAAAAUACAAACACAAUAACAUCACCACUUUCCCACCAGCCAAAACAUAAUAUGAAAGUUAUUACGAAUGUAUACAGACUUAAAAUAGGUGGUUUUCUUCCCAACUUAGUGAAAAACAAAAGCUAAAAGCCAAAUAGCUGUCUGCAGUAGUUAGAGCCAGAUUCUCUGGUAUUUCAAGACAAAGCCUUAGGCCUGUGCAAAUAGGGAAGUAUUCGAUUCGGAUUCAGCUGAUUUGGAGGACAGUGAUUUGAUUCGGAGAUUUGGAUCAUUGUCCUGAAUUGAUUUGGUUGAAUUGGCUUCGGAAGAUUCGGCGCUGAUUCAGAGAUUCGGAUUGGCCGGGUAGAGGCGGGCACAGCUGGCCAGCUGCAGGUUCUCCCAUAGCUCCUCUGGCUGUGCCUACAUCUCCCCAGGUGGGAGGAGCCACAGGAGAAGCCCCCAUGGCUGCCCUGCCUGACCCCCCCCCCGCCUGGCCCCAGCCUGGUCCUGACACUUGGGGGGGGAAAAAAGCCCCGCACUCACCAGCUGCAGCAGCAGCGAUUGGGGCCUGCACUCACUGGCAGCACCUGGGGCCUCUGGGUACCUGUGGCAGACUCCCACCCUGUGCAGCAUGGGGCAGUGGGGGGCAGCAGGGAUCGCCGCCCCCCCCACCUGACACCUAUGCAGCAUCUGCCCCAUGGAGCAGGUACAGCUGGGGCCACUGGGGUUGAGUGGUGCUGGGCUCUGGCUGACACAUGGAA